rnacentral:rRNA from 1 species
UGCGUAGGCGGCGGGGUAAGUCGGGUGUGAAAUCUCGGAGCUUAACUCCGAAACUGCAUUCGAUACUGCCGUGCUUGAGGACUGGAGAGGAGACUGGAAUUUACGGUGUAGCGGUGAAAUGCGUAGAUAUCGUAAGGAAGACCAGUGGCGAAGGCGGGUCUCUGGACAGUUCCUGACGCUGAGGCACGAAGGCCAGGGGAGCAAACG